GGCCCAAACUCCUACGGGAGGCAGCAGUGGGGAAUAUUGCACAAUGGGCGAAAGCCUGAUGCAGCGACGCCGCGUGAGCGAAGAAGUAUUUCGGUAUGUAAAGCUCUAUCAGCAGGGAAGAUAAUGACGGUACCUGACUAAGAAGCACCGGCUAAAUACGUGCCAGCAGCCGCGGUAAUACGUAUGGUGCAAGCGUUAUCCGGAUUUACUGGGUGUAAAGGGAGCGCAGGCGGUGCGGCAAGUCUGAUGUGAAAGCCCGGGGCUCAACCCCGGUACUGCAUUGGAAACUGUCGUACUAGAGUGUCGGAGGGGUAAGCGGAAUUCCUAGUGUAGCGGUGAAAUGCGUAGAUAUUAGGAGGAACACCAGUGGCGAAGGCGGCUUACUGGACGAUAACUGACGCUGAGGCUCGAAAGCGUGGGGAGCAAACAGGAUUAGAUACCCUGGUAGUCCACGCC
rnacentral:rRNA from 1 species